rnacentral:rRNA from 1 species
UUCCUACGGGGGGCAGCAGUAGGGAAUUUUCGUCAAUGGGCGCAAGCCUGAACGAGCAAUGCCGCGUGAACGAGGAAGGUCUUCGGAUCGUAAAGUUCUGUUGAAGGGGAAAAAGAGCGGAGAGAGGAAAUGGUCUCCGAUUGAUAUUACCCUUCGAGGAAGUCACGGCUAACUACGUGCCAGCAGCCGCGGUAAUACGUAGGUGGCGAGCGUUAUCCGGAUUUAUUGGGUUUAAAGGGUGCGUAGGCGGAUUUUUAAGUCAGCGGUAAAAUGUCCGGGCUCAACCCGGGCCGGCCGUUGAAACU